CAAAGUUAUUAAUAUGGAAUGCCUUAUGACAGAUAUGCCUUAAGUGAUUUAAAUAAGAAAUUGCUGUCUGACGUCCAUAUUAAAAGAUCAAGGGUGUCACAUUUAACAAUUUAUUUACAGAAAUGAGAAGAGCGAUAGUGAUUCGUUUAUAUAGUAUAUAAAAUAUACAUCUAUACUUUUUCAAUAUUUUGGCAGAUUGGAUUUGUGCCACCAGCCAUGAAUUUGACACAUCAAAACUUCAUGCACUACAUGCUACCGUCUCUGCUGCUGCCACCUAAAAUCUGAGGCAACAGCUGAUGACCUUUUCAGGGGUCCCCUCUUCCCAGCAUUUAAUAAAAGGAUCGGCUGACCUACAAAGAGGGGGCCGUCGGUGAGCUCCAGGUGACGACACACAUCUCUCUGCAAAAGGCUGACAUCAUUGAGCGAAACGGCUCAAUGACACUCAGUUUCUCUUUGCUCAUGUACAGGCUUUCUGACCUUCAAUGCUUGGAUGAGAGUUGUGAGGAAGCAGCAUUCUGGCAUAUCCCUAUCUAUGUUGAAAAACAGCCCCCGCCUUAUCUCAUACACAAUAGCUUACUGUAUUUCAUUGCGUAUAUAUUCUGUUCUGUAGCUCAGUUCUUUGAGCAGCUGUUUGGAAUAAACCAGAUCUGAUUUCA